CCGAGAGACUUCAUGGCUUUAUACUAUGUCUUCUUUGCAUCUGGUUGUUGGAACAUGUCCCUGUCUCGGUUUGGUAUUACUUUAAUUCUGCACUGUCAUCUUGGACAUUUUCCCUACUUGUCAUUCAAGGGGUUGAACCAGCUGGUAGGGGAAUGUUUUUCUGAGAAUUACGGGAUCUAAAUUUUAGUUAACCAUACAUAAAGCUAGUUUUGAGUCUUACAACGAUGCAAAAUUAUAGUUGCUUCUUGCUAUUGCUUAAGAGGAUCCUUAGUGUGGUUGUGAACUACAGAGUUUCUAUGGAGUUUAGACUCCAUAACUCAGAUUUAAGGUUUAAUGUUCUCUUAGCUAUGUCAACAAAGAGUAUUUGCGGUUCAACUAUUUGAGUUACACAGACUGAUUAAGAAUGCAAUAGUUAGCUAUUGUUGAUGGUUUUGCGGAGAUAAACGAGACCUUAGCCGAGAUGAUAAAAUAUAUUGCAAACAAACCUGCUUUACUACAUCCAACAUCACGUCCAACAUGCAGCACCAAAUGUUUUUAAUCUCAACAAUGUUUUGGAGAAGUCCUGUGAAGCAUGCUUGCAUACCGAAGACUUAGAAGAUUUUAUAGCCAUGAUGAAAUCAAUAAAAGAGUGUGGUCCACCUAUCAUGUAUAUUUGUUGUUAGACAUCUAUGAUGGUUGUAAAAUAUUUUUAUAUUGUUUUGGUACUUUUCUGAUGUUUCUGCACUAUAAGAAUGUCAAAGGUUUCUAUUAGAGACAAGUUAAUAGUUUUUGAGGUAA